GGGGAAUCUUGGACAAUGGGCGCAAGCCUGAUCCAGCAAUGCCGCGUGGGUGAAGAAGGCCUUCGGGUUGUAAAGCCCUUUCGGCGGGGAAGAAAUCGGUCAGGCGAAUAGUCUGGCUGGAUGACGGUACCCGCAGAAGAAGCACCGGCUAACUACGUGCCAGCAGCCGCGGCAAUACGUAGGGUGCGAGCGUUACUCGGAAUUACUGGGCGUAAAGGGUGCGCAGGCGGCCCUGUAAGACCGGUGUGAAAUCCCCGGGCUCAACCUAGAAAUUGCGCUAGUGACUGCAGGACUAGAGUACGGUAGAGGGGGGUGGAGUUCCUAGUGUAGCAGUGAAAUGCGUAGAGAUCAGGAGGAACACCGAUGGCGAAGGCAGCACCCUGGGCUUGUACUGACGCUCAUGCACGAAAGCGUGGGGAGCAAACAG
rnacentral:rRNA from 1 species